CAACACAAGUUUAGAAAUUUGUCUUAUCGAUUCUUACGUUUUUUUCUUACUACCGAUUCAACAUGCCAGUCAAAGUACACGUUGUCUAUUGUGGUGCCUGAGGAUACAGGUCCAAGUAUAAUUGCCUGGCAGCUAGCUGAUCUGGCUGAUGAAUUUGGAAGUGAUGUGGAGUGUAGCGGAGAAGGGACGUCUGGAGUCACAGGAUGGUUUGAGAUUUCAGUUGAUGGAAAACUUGUCCAUUCCAAAAUGACUCUCACUGCAGAAUGGUGAUGUUGACAGGGAAGCAAAAAUGAAGAAGAUUGUUGAUAGCCUUGCUGCUAAUUAAGUGAUGCUGCAUUCCUGUUAUGAUCUUGCUUGCUUUGUGUACAAUGACCAGUUCAUUGAAAGCAGUCAGAUCGCUGUUAAUUAAUACACUGGCCAGCUACCUGUAUUCUGACUGUGGAUAUUGAAUAAACCGAGAAUACCGAAAUAGCUUUGCAAAACGAAAAAAUACUCUUUGUCAGCAAAUUGUAUUGAAAUGGUAGAAUUUUAAUGUAAACUGAUAAUAAAAGUUAAAAAAGAUAAAGAAUUGCCAAGGAUAUCAGUUUUUUAUCUGGCACCUCCUGGGA